rnacentral:rRNA from 1 species
AUUGAACGCUGGCGGCAUGCUUUACACAUGCAAGUCGAACGGUAGAGGGGGCAACCCCUUGAGAGUGGCGAACGGGUGAGUAAUGCAUCGGAACGUGCCCAGUCGUGGGGGAUAACGCAGCGAAAGCUGUGCUAAUACCGCAUACGAUCUCUGGAUGAAAGCGGGGGACCGAAAGGCCUCGCGCGAUUGGAGCGGCCGAUGUCAGAUUAGGUAGUUGGUGGGGUAAAGGCUCACCAAGCCAACGAUCUGUAGCUGGUCUGAGAGGACGACCAGCCAUACGGGGACUGAGACACGGCCCAGACUCCUACGGGAGGCAGCAGUGGGGAAUUUUGGACAAUGGGCGCAAGCCUGAUCCAGCAAUGCCGCGUGCAGGAAGAAGGCCUUCGGGUUGUAAACUGCUUUUGUACGGAACGAAAAGGUCUGGGUUAAUACCCUGGGCACAUGACGGUACCGUAAGAAUAAGCACCGGCUAACUACGUGCCAGCCGCCGCGGUAA